UCGAUAGGCAUUAAAAUCACCUCGUGGAGGUGAUUGAGCUCAAUUGAAAAAUAAUAAAUGUUGUGCACGACAUUCUAAGCAUAUGAAGAUAGUCGAUGAGAUGAAAGAAUGAAAUGCUUCCAUAAUAACUAGUUUCAUGAUCCUAGACAUGUGAUGACCCACACAAUACGUGCUUGAGUGAAUCAUGAAUAAUAUCACAUCAAUGUGAUUUAGUCUCCCCAAUUUCGUCUCUGCUCUGGCUUGGUCUGGGACUUCCCCGAAAUAAAACAUAAACUGUGUUUAAUAUUGAAAUGAAGUUACUGUGUCUUCGAUACAAGAAAAUGAGUGGGCCAAAUGUAUCCCUUAUUGGGUGAUAUUCAUCACUGAUGAAGAUGGUAUAAAAAGAGUUCCAAAAUUAGUCGGAUGGAGUUUGUCUUCCUCAAGGUUCCAUCAGAAUAAUUUUGCAUCAAGAAUCUCAGAAUAUUGCUGCAUCAAGAAUCGUACGGCAUCGAGCAGAGCCAGAAAAUUAUGGCGCCUUGUGUCCGGUCAACCGUCGAGUAUCUAUUAAGCCUGUUGGGUGAAUGAUGUAGAAGACGCUUCCUCUGCAACAGCCCCAACGAGAACGAGAAAAAUGAUCACCCCUAUGGGAACCAUGAGUCCCGAAAUUCCUUCUGCUGUUGUCACCGAACAACUGACGGGUUACAACCCGUCAGUAGGAGCGGCCUCAUAUUGGAACCACUAGCUCCUCAGUGGCUGACAAUCAAUAAUGCAAUUUUACCUGAUGCCCAUUAAGCAGCGCUGCCUUCAAGUUAGUGACGUAGUGGCUUGUUACCAUUUGUUGAAAUCCACUUGUUUUUUUGUUCUAUUUCUUUAUGUAUGGUCUUAAGUUAAUUAUAGCAUUCUGUUAGUUAAACAUGUACGAGCCAAAGUCUAAAUAGAUCUUCCGGAGGAAAUAUUUCGUUGAUUAAAUAAUUAAGUAGUUCCGAAAGGUGACCAGUAUCAUAUUGUGAGAAAACGACCUUGAAAUAAAUGGUGAUUAUUCCUUGGAUUAUAAAAAUCUUAUUCCUUGGAACUAAUAUAUAAUCAAAGUCAUUUUCAUAUGCAGGCGACAUAAGAGUUUGUUACUAUUGCUCAAUCAAC